GUGCCCACUUUGGCAGCACAUAUACUAAAUUAGAAUGAUACAGAGAUUAGCAUGGCCCCUGUACAAGGAUGACACAAAUUCAUGAAGCAUUCCAUAUUUUA
rnacentral:snRNA from 1 species